rnacentral:rRNA from 1 species
UACGUAGGGCGCAAGCGUUGCCCGGAAUCACUGGGCGUAAAGCGCACGUAGGCGGCUUUUUAAGUCAGGGGUGAAAUCCUGGAGCUCAACUCCAGAACUGCCUUUGAUACUGAGAAGCUUGAGUCCGGGAGAGGUGAGUGGAACUGCGAGUGUAGAGGUGAAAUUCGUAGAUAUUCGCAAGAACACCAGUGGCGAAGGCGGCUCACUGGCCCGAUACUGACGCUGAGGCACGAAAGCGUGGGGAGCAAACAGG